rnacentral:misc_RNA from 1 species
GAUGAAGAACGCAGCGAAAUGCGAUAAGUAGUGUGAAUUGCAGAAUUUAGUGAAUCAUCGAAUCUUUGAACGCACAUUGCGCCCUAUAGUAUUCUGUAGGGCAUGCCUGUUCGAGCGUUAUUGAGACCUCAAGCUCUGCUUGGAAAUGGGCGCUUGUCUUGCCUUGCAGACUCGCCUUAAAACCAUUGGCAGCUGAUUUACAAUGUUUGGUGCACAGUACAUGAGCCCAAGUGUUGCAAUGAGUGGCCCAAAAGUAUACAAUAGAAGCUUAACCUCGGAUCAGGUAGGGAUACCCGCUGAACUUAAGCAUAUCAAUAAGCGGAGGA